rnacentral:rRNA from 1 species
CCUANGGGGGGCAGCAGUGAGGGAUUUUCCACAAUGGGCGAAAGCCUGAUGGAGCAAUGCCGCGUGAAGGAAGACGGACUUCGGUUUGUAAACUUCUUUUAUUAGUGACGAUUAUGACGGUAACUAAUGAAUAAGGCGCUGCUAACUACGUGCCAGCAGCAGCGGUAAUACGUAGGCGCCAAGCGUUAUUCGGAUUCACUGGGCGUAAAGGGUCCGCAGGUGGAUCAACAAGUUCAACGUUAAAUAUCUCGGCUCAACCGAGGGAAGGUGUUGAAAACUGUUGGUCUGGAGGCCGGUAGAGGUUGUCGGAACUUAUCGAGUAGGGGUAAUAUCCGUUGAUACGAUAAGGAACACCAAAGGCGAAGGCAGACAACUGGGCCGGCCCUGACACUCAUGGACGAAAGCGUGGGGAGCGAACGGGAUUAGAUACCCUGNUANUC